GCAUAACGUUCACAGUACUCUUUCACUUUCUCUUCAUACUGUUUCUUAUCUUUCAUCAUUAGGGAUGCUGCAUCACCGUUAAGUGGGUCUGAAGGGUUUGGAUAAAGCAGCAGCUGUGGAAGGAAAACCUCAAACACAUUUAAAAGAUCAAACAUUGGACUCCAUGAUUGGUUGAUGACAUCCAAGCAUACAGAACCAGACAUCUCAUCAACAUUAGGGUGGUAUAUUUUAUUCAGAAACCCAAUGGAAGGAGAUUUGUAUGGGUAAGCAUCUGGUAGCUCCACAUGGAUUUUCCAAACACCGCCUUCAUAAAGGCUUUCUUUUGGCCCAUGGAAUUCCACAUUGAAUUCAUUAAUCCCAUCAUUGAUUGGCUCCACAGUGUAGUCACUCAUCAUCAAUUUCAUAACAUCCAUAUCUCUUCUCUUGCUUGGAGAAGACAUCCUUUCAUUUAACAGAUAUUCUUUGGUCGUGGGCCGAAAUUUGAAGAGUGAAUUAUUGAGAGGGUUUUUUAAAGGUUUUCUGUGAUUAGG
rnacentral:misc_RNA from 1 species